UAUAGCGAUUGCUAAUUGUUUCAUUCCAGAAAGAUAAAUGAAGCAAUCUCGAUUUGAUCGAAUAAAAUUCUGGGUAAAAUUAUGAUAAUGACAUUAUUUACUUAUGAGUCUUGACCAAAUUACGUGCCAGCAGUCGCGGUAAUACGUAGAAGACUAGUGUUAUUCAUCUUUAAUAGGUUUAAAGGGUACCUAGACGGCAGAUUAAGCCUUAGUUGGGACUGGUUUGCUAGAGUUACUUAUGAGGAAGUUUUAAUGUACUAGAGGUGAAGAGAUAAAAUUCUGUUAUACUUUUUUUCUAACGAAAAAUUUCGGCACAGGUAUAGGUGAAAACAUCUUCUUAUGGGAUAACUGACGUUGAGGGACGAAGGCUUUUUAUCGCGAACAGGAUUAGAUACCCUGGUAGUCAAAGCAGAAAAUGAUGAGUGUCAUAGAUUAGAUAAACGUUUAUUCUAUAAAUGAAAGUGUAAGCACUCCACCUCAAGAGUAAUUUGGCAACAUUGGAACUGAAAUCAUUAGACCGUAUCUGAAACCAGUAGUGAAGUAUGUUAUUUAAUUUGAUAAUCCGCAAAAAACCUUACCACAACUUGAAUGUUUAUUUAGUUACUUUUGUAACUAAAUAAACACAAGUGUUGCACGGCUGUCUUCAGUUAAUGUCGUCAGACUUUGGUUAGCUCCAGUAAAUUAACGUAAACCCUUGCUCUAGUUUUAAGUAGAGUAGUUCUCCGCUAUAUUGGAUAAGAUAACA
rnacentral:rRNA from 1 species